rnacentral:lncRNA from 1 species
UGAAAUAAGGCUAGUAUUACAAGAAGUACAAAAAGAAAUUAAUAAAAUAAAAAAUAUAAUACUCUCAUGAAUGAUAUACUCCAAGAUAAACUUUAUCUAACAAUAUUAAAAAAGUCAGCACAGAUCCAACCAAAUCCCGAAGGAUUAUCAGACCAUCAACCCCAGGGAAAAGCAGACUCGUUAAUCAUAAAACAAAAUAAUAUUAUAAUUUUGUUACUAUUAGA